NNNNNNNNNNNNNNNNNNNNNNNNNNNNNNNNNNCCUCCCCGUUCUGGAAAGGGUCGGGAGCACCGAAGCUCAUCACCUGCCUCAAGCUUUCAGCCGCUUUGCUGCUCUCUCUGGGGAUGUAGGGAAGAGAAGCGGUUGCCUCCUGCUUGCUCUGCAGGAUAUAAUCCAUGAGCAAGGCGUUCCGCUCGAAGCUGUCUGACCUGAUGGGGACACUCGGCUUGUGCCCCCCCGAGGGACAGUUCAGACCCACUUGAUUCACUUGCCUGCUCUCCGCGCUGCUCUCCGAGUCCGAGCGGCUCCUUUCCCUCCUCGGGGCAACUUGGGAAGCAUGGAGCCUGCUUAGGUUCGGGCUCGCCGCGUUCCCAUCCUCCGGGUACCCCUCCUGCAUCACGGGUCCCCAGUGCUCCAUCGCUUCCCAUUCCUCCUCAGGUUCUGCUUCUGCCUCCUCCAUCAGGCGCCUGUAUUCGCUCUCCUCCAGCCUGUACACCACCGGCUUCACCGUCCUGCCCAUGUGCCUGUGCCCGACCUCCAGCUCAUAAACCUUCGGAGGGGCUUCUCCUUCCUGUCCUCUCCAGCGCCCUCCCGACACGGGGUUAUCCAAGCUCGGUUCCCACUGUUCUCUCCUGCUCAUCUCGGCUGGCGCCUGGCUCCGGGGGUCGGGAAGGUCCCUGUGCCCCAGGCCCUGCUGCAGGUUACAGCCCUCACGUGUCCCAGCGGAGGCUUCCCGGGAUCUGCCCCUCUCCUGACGUGUGUCAUCCCGCAAGCAUCCAUAGUGCUGCCAGGUGGAGGCUUCCAUGGCCGGGAGCUCAGUGCCCUCAAUCCCUGCUCCCAGCGCACUGGAGCCUUCCAGCCCGGAUCCCUUCCCACCUUGGCUCUCAGCACCGCCUUCCUUCUCCUUCUCUGUGCUCCACUACUGGGAGAGACGGAGGCAGCUUGGAAGCCUCCGUGCCUGGGUCAUGGGAAGCGGCGCCUCUCAGCCUCAUGCCCAGCAGGGAUGGAUGCGCACAUUGGAGCCAUGGAGCUCAUCCCCUGCGGGAGGCUGCCGGAGCUGAUGCUGCGCUGGUCCCUAUCCAAUAGAUCCCACCUUGAAAAGCCCCUUCCAGCUCCUAACCUGCUGCUCCGGGCACUUCACAGGCAGGGUCUGGCUCUGCCUCCGCAGGGACGCUCCUCUCGUCCCCAACCUGCUCCAGCAAUGACUCCCCACGCUCCUGCCCCGGCUUCCCUGCGCUCCGAGCGGUUC
rnacentral:lncRNA from 14 species